GACGAACGCUGGCGGCGUGCUUAACACAUGCAAGUCGAACGGAAAGGCCCUGCUUUUGUGGGGUGCUCGAGUGGCGAACGGGUGAGUAACACGUGAAUAACCUGCCCUUUACUUUGGGAUAACUUCAGGAAACUGGUGCUAAUACCGGCUAGGAGCUCCUGCUGCAUGGUGGGGGUUGGAAAGCUUCGGCGGUUGGGGGUGGACUCGGGGCUUACCAGCUUGUGGGUGGGGUAGUGGCUUACCAAGGCUUUGACGGGUAGCCGGCCUGAGAGGGUGACCAGGCACAUUGGGACUGCGAGACGGACCAGACUCCUACGGGAGGCAGUAGUGGGGAAUAUUGCACAAUGGGCGGAAGCGUGAUGAAGAAACGCCGCGUGCGGGAUGACGGCCUUCGGGUUGUAAACCGCUUUAGCUUGUGACGAAGCGUGAGUGACGGUAAUGGGUAAAGAAGCACCGGCUAACUACGUG
rnacentral:rRNA from 1 species